ensembl:rRNA 5S_rRNA 5S ribosomal RNA
GUCUACGGCCAAACCACCCUGAAUUUACCCAGUCUCAUCUGAUCUCGGAAGCAAAGCAGGGUAUGGCCUGGUGAGUACUCAGAUGGGAGACCACCUGGGAAUACCAGGUGCUGUAGGCU